rnacentral:snRNA from 1 species
AGAAAGGGCUUUGGUCAGGAGCGGCACACGGAGGGCAACUCAAUUGCUCUGCGGGCAGAAUCGACAUCAAGACAUUUUGGAAGCCUGAUUUUUUAGUACCUAGGCAGCUGGUGAUUGUUGGUCCCCAAUACAAAC